rnacentral:rRNA from 1 species
UACGUAGGGUGCGAGCGUUAAUCGGAAUUACUGGGCGUAAAGCGUGCGCAGGCGGUUUUGUAAGCCAGGUGUGAAAUCCCACGGCUCAACCGUGGAAUUGCCUUUGAAACUGUGAAGCUAGAGUGUCGGAGGGGAUAGCGGAAUUGCUAAUGUAGAGGUGAAAUUCGUAGAUAUUAGCAGGAACACCGGUGGCGAAGGCGGCUAUCUGGACGACAACUGACGCUGAGGCGCGAAAGCGUGGGGAUCAAACAGG